AACACCAUCAUUUCCCUUCCCCCCAUCUUUCUCCUCUGCCGCAUCAACCAUCGCCUCCACUUUCUUGUUUGCUGCCCCCAUCAUCCAACUCCAUUUGUACGCCCUCAUCCCACCACCUUCCAUCCAUCACGCCAGCAUCCAUCACCUACCGCCCAACUCCAUAGCAAUUGUCCACCAUAACUCCACGCCUGCAGCCACCAAUAGCUAGCAGCCCGUCCCCACCGUUAGCUCCGUCCAACAGCCGCGCCGUCACCAUCGAGCAGCCACCACACCUUAGCCACCAGCAUCCACCCAAACCGAGACCAAGUUGAGCCGAACCCUUCCUUUUGGCCGUGAGCUAGUUAGGCCAUCACGGUCGUCAGUGGAACUUCGUUAGAGUCACGGUAAACUCCGGUUCUCGUCGCCGUCACGUUGCCAUCGCCGUGAACCCACCGCCGUCGAAUUUCGUGGAACUCGUCACUCAACGGGAGUUUGGGGGCGAUGCCUAAUUUUAUCGGAUGCUUGGUGAGGGUCUAGAAGCCGGUAGCGGUGGAGGCUGGACCAAUGCUCCUUUAUGGGAUGCCGUCUAGGCAGGGGUUCUAGACGUUGCCGUGCCCGAUGGGGCGGGACGAUGCCUGAUUUUUAUUGAAUGCCUGACGGGGGUUUGGAUGAUCGCCGACUGGGGAGUUGGCUAUGGCCGAUGGGCCUUAAUAACUAAAACAUGCCUGAGUGAUUGAAAGAGUUGUGCCUUAUUAUCGGGCAAAAUUAUGUGGCACGGUAUGAGGCGUGUCAUAACGGUUUGGCCUUAUAAUUGUGACCCUUGUGAUUGAUUGAUAUAUGAAAGUGAGGCAUUCCUAUUGUUGAUUACGCUUGCUGCGUGUAUAAAUGUAUAUGAGAUGUACUAAUAUGCAGUAAGGUGCUAAGGCGAGGUAAGUUCUGAGUGGUGCAUGUUUAGGACGCCUUUGAGUGAAUUCUCGUCAUAAUCGGGGUUUAGAGUGUUGACUCGCUGAGACAUUAUCUCACCCUGUCGUGGUUUAAAUUUUUCAAGUCCCUAGUGUGGAGAACCUGGAGCCCGAGGCUAAAGGGUCUGGAGCGUAGAUGGCCCAGUAGAUUCUUUUGGGUCAAACCUUCUGUUUAUAGACCUAUAAGACUGGUUUGAUAUGUGUAUAAAGUGAUCUGUGAUAAUUGGCUUGUCUUUCCACUAUCCCAAUGUUUGAUGGUGGUCAGGGUAUCUGUUUAUUUCGCUUCCGCAUGUUCAUAAAAUGAAAGAGUCGGUGACGCAUCUUGGGAACGUCGCAAAAUUUUAGUUGACCGCCGAGGGAUGUGUACAUGCCCGAGGUUCGAGGUGUGACAUAGAGUGCUUGAAGUCUUGCUCAUAAUGCUGCAACAUUCUUCUCGUCAGCAACUCCUAUUAAAAUCUCACCUGACAAGUUCAACAGAAUUGUGCUAUUUGCUCUUUCCAUUAGAUCUAUCCUCUCAGCGGCUUUCAUUAUAGUUAGCAACUCAUCUUCAUUAUCAAGUGUCUUGGCCAAACCUUGGUUGUUAAUAAUGCCCGCAUCUUGAUGCUCCAUAACCCAAAGUUGUUCCUCUCA